UAGAGCAGGAUUCACAAUGUUUUAAUAAGCACCAAUCGUUCCUGGGGAUACAUUGUUCCUGAAUCCUCAAUUCUCCAAAUCAGUAACUCUUGAAGAUCUUAAUGAUUGUAGCCAUUUUUGUAGGAAAAAAGGAUUUGCAACUUGAUUGGCCUACCCAGUUCAAUAUAUGCUUAGGAAUUGUGAGAGAUCUAGCAUAUCGUCACGAGGAUUCAAGGCCAAAGAAUAUUAUACAUCGAGAUGUCAAAGCAAAUAAUAUUUUACUCGAUGCAAAACUCUACCCCAAGAUAUCAGAUUUUGGAUUGGCAAAGCCAUAUGAUAACACGUAAACUCACAUCAGCAUAAGAGUUGCAGGGACCACGUUUUCACAUUGCUAUGGUGAGUGGGCACAUGGGAUACGGUUGAUCAUUAAAUUCAGUUUGAUGGCAAUAUCGAGACUUGACUUUUGGAUGUCAACCAUGAGAAACACUUAAUUAUCUUGCAGUGGUUAUCUGGCACCGGAGUAUGCAGUGCGUAAGUAUUGUUGUUGCUUUGGAGAUUAUCAGUGGAAGAGCAAACUCUAAUACUAGCUUGGAUAAUGAAAAGAUUUAUCUUUUUGAAUGGGCUUGGAGUCUUCAUGAAAGUAACAAAAGUUUGGGGUUGAUAGAUCCCAAAUUAACAGAGUUCAAUGAAAUCAAAGUCGUUUGAGUAACAGCAGUUGCUCUCUUAUGCACUCA